UUGUAGUGCGCCUGCGCUUGUCCGAACCUCUUCGGGAGACUACUUCUCGCGGUAUCUGACUCCUAGGCUCCGCCCUCUGCACGCCGCUCACGGCUGGGAAGUUCAAGCACAUGGCUCUAGCUUCUGGUGAGAGGUUUCAGGCUGCGUCAUAAUAUGGCAGAGAAGAUCAAUGGGUAAAUGGACAUGUGUGAAGAAAGGCAAAAC
rnacentral:lncRNA from 10 species